rnacentral:lncRNA from 1 species
UUGCCAUUUCGUCUUCUGAAAGAACCAAACAACAAAUUAGUUUCCACAAUAUAACAAAUAUAAGAAACUAAUCAGUUCAGAAAUAAUCAAUAUAGGAAACCAAUUUUUCCUUUCUGAAAAUAUGUUUUAAGCUUGUAGGGAAAAUCCCAAGUUUCACCAGUUCGGUCAACCGAACUUUUCUGAAAUCCGGUAAGUUUAUGAAAAAUGAGGAAUCC